CUGAGGCGUGACGACGAGGCACUACGGUGCUGAAGCAACAAAUGCCCUGCUUCCAGGAAAAGCCUCUAAGCAUCAGGUAACAUCAAAUCGUACCCCAAACCGACACAGGUGGUCAGGUAGAGAAUACCAAGGCGCUUGAGAGAACUCGGGUGAAGGAACUAGGCAAAAUGGUGCCGUAACUUCGGGAGAAGGCACGCUGACACGUAGGUGAAGUGAUUUACUCAUGGAGCUGAAGUCAGUCGAAGAUACCAGCUGGCUGCAACUGUUUAUUAAAAACACAGCACUGUGCAAACACGAAAGUGGACGUAUACGGUGUGACGCCUGCCCGGUGCCGGAAGGUUAAUUGAUGGGGUCAGCGCAAGCGAAGCUCCUGAUCGAAGCCCCGGUAAACGGCGGCCGUAACUAUAACGGUCCUAAGGUAGCGAAAUUCCUUGUCGGGUAAGUUCCGACCUGCACGAAUGGCGUAAUGAUGGCCAGGCUGUCUCCACCCGAGACUCAGUGAAAUUGAACUCGCUGUGAAGAUGCAGUGUACCCGCGGCAAGACGGAAAGACCCCGUGAACCUUUACUAUAGCUUGACACUGAACAUUGAGCCUUGAUGUGUAGGAUAGGUGGGAGGCUUUGAAGCGUGGACGCCAGUCUGCGUGGAGCCGACCUUGAAAUACCACCCUUUAAUGUUUGAUGUUCUAACGUGGACCCGUAAUCCGGGUUGCGGACAGUGUCUGGUGGGUAGUUUGACUGGGGCGGUCUCCUCCUAAAGAGUAACGGAGGAGCACGAAGGUUGGCUAAUCCUGGUCGGACAUCAGGAGGUUAGUGCAAUGGCAUAAGCCAGCUUGACUGCGAGCGUGACGGCGCGAGCAGGUGCGAAAGCAGGUCAUAGUGAUCCGGUGGUUCUGAAUGGAAGGGCCAUCGCUCAACGGAUAAAAGGUACUCCGGGGAUAACAGGCUGAUACCGCCCAAGAGUUCAUAUCGACGGCGGUGUUUGGCACCUCGAUGUCGGCUCAUCACAUCCUGGGGCUGAAGUAGGUCCCAAGGGUAUGGCUGUUCGCCAUUUAAAGUGGUACGCGAGCUGGGUUUAGAACGUCGUGAGACAGUUCGGUCCCUAUCUGCCGUGGGCGCUGGAGAACUGAGGGGGGCUGCUCCUAGUACGAGAGGACCGGAGUGGACGCAUCACUGGUGUUCGGGUUGUCAUGCCAAUGGCACUGCCCGGUAGCUAAAUGCGGAAGAGAUAAGUGCUGAAAGCAUCUAAGCACGAAACUUGCCCCGAGAUGAGUUCUCCCUGAGACUUUAGGUCUCCUGAAGGAACGUUGAAGACGACGACGUUGAUAGGCCGGGUGUGUAAGCGCAGCGAUGCGUUGAGCUAACCGGUACUAAUGAACCGUGAGGCUUAACC
rnacentral:rRNA from 1 species